UACGGAGGAUGCAAGUGUUAUCCGGAAUCACUGGGCGUAAAGCGUCUGUAGGUUGUUUAAAAAGUCUACUGUUAAAACUUGGAGCUUAACUUCAAAGAUGCCGUGGAAACUUUUAAACUUGAGUAUGGUAGGGGUAGAGGGAAUUUCCAGUGGAGCGGUGAAAUGCGUAGAUAUUGGAAAGAACACCAAUGGCGAAGGCACUCUACUGGGCCACUACUGACACUGAGAGACGAAAGCUAGGGGAGCAAAUGGG
rnacentral:rRNA from 1 species